ACAGAGGGUGCAAGCGUUAAUCGGAAUUACUGGGCGUAAAGCGCGCGUAGGCGGUUAUUUAAGUCAAAUGUGAAAGCCCCGGGCUCAACCUGGGAACUGCAUCUGAUACUGAGUAACUAGAGUUUAGGAGAGGGAAGUAGAAUUUCAGGUGUAGCGGUGAAAUGCAUAGAGAUCUGAAGGAAUACCAGUGGCGAAGGCGACUUCCUGGCCUAGAACUGACGCUAAGGUGCGAAAGCGUGGGUAGCAAACGGG
rnacentral:rRNA from 1 species